GGCUCAGGAUGAGCGCUGGCGGCGUGCUUAACACAUGCUAGUCGAGCGAAGCACUUAUGAUUUCUUCGGAUUGAAUGAGUGACUGAGCGGCGGACGGGUGAGUAACGCGUGGGUAACCUGCCUCACACAGGGGGAUAACAGUUAGAAAUGACUGCUAAUACCGCAUAAGACCACAGCACCGCAUGGUGCAGGGGUAAAAACUCCGGUGGUGUGAGAUGGACCCGCGUCCGAUUAGCUGGUUGGUGGGGUAACGGCCUACCAAGGCGACGAUCGGUAGCCGAACUGAGAGGUUGAUCGGCCGCAUUGGGACUGAGACACGGCCCAGACUCCUACGGGAGGCAGCAGUGGGGGAUAUUGCACAAUGGGGGAAACCCUGAUGCAGCAACGCCGCGUGAGGGAAGAAGGUCUUCGGAUUGUAAACCUAAGUUGUCAGGGACGAACAAGAUGACGGUACCUGAAGAGAAAGCUCCGGCUAACUACGUGCCAGCAGCCGCGGUAAUACGUAGGGAGCGAGCGUUGUCCGGAUUUACUGGGUGUAAAGGGUGCGUAGGCGGGUUUGCAAGUCAGGCGUGAAAUACCGGUGCUUAACAUCGGGGCUGCGCUUGAAACUGUAGAUCUUGAGUGAAGUAGAGCCAAGCGGAAUUCCUAGGGGUAGCGGUGAAAUGGGUAGAUAUUAGGAGGAACACCAGUGGCGAAGGCGGCUUGCUGGGCUUUAACUGACGCUGAGGCACGAAAGCGUGGGGGAGCAAACAGGAUUAGAUACCCUGGUAGUCCACGCCGUAAACGAUGAUAGCUAGGUGUGGGGGGACUGACCCCCUCCGUGCCGGAGCAAACGCAAUAAGCUAUCCACCUGGGGAGUACGACCGCAAGGUUGAAACUCAAAGGAAUUGACGGGGGCCCGCACAAGCAGUGGAGUAUGUGGUUUAAUUCGAAGCAACGCGAAGAACCUUACCAGGUCUUGACAUCCGACUAACGAGGCAGAGAUGCGUUAGGUGCCCUUCGGGGAAAGUCGAGACAGGUGGUGCAUGGUUGUCGUCAGCUCGUGUCGUGAGAUGUUGGGUUAAGUCCCGCAACGAGCGCAACCCUUGUCCUUAGUUGCUACGCAAGAGCACUCUAAGGAGACUGCCGUUGACAAAACGGAGGAAGGUGGGGACGACGUCAAAUCAUCAUGCCCCUUAUGACCUGGGCUACACACGUACUACAAUGGCCAAGAACAGAGGGAAGCGACACCGCGAGGUGAAGCAAACCCCGAAAAAUGGUCUCAGUUCAGAUUGCAGGCUGCAACUCGCCUGUAUGAAGUCGGAAUUGCUAGUAAUCGCGGAUCAGCAUGCCGCGGUGAAUA
rnacentral:rRNA from 1 species